GUUAAGCGACUAAGCGUACACGGUGGAUGCCCUGGCAGUCAGAGGCGAUGAAGGGCGUGCUAAUCUGCGAUAAGCGCCGGUAAGGUGAUAUGAACCGUUAUAACCGGCGAUACCCGAAUGGGGAAACCCAGUGUGAUUCGUCACACUAUCAUUAACUGAAUCCAUAGGUUAAUGAGGCGAACCGGGGGAACUGAAACAUCUAAGUACCCCGAGGAAAAGAAAUCAACCGAGAUUCCCCCAGUAGCGGCGAGCGAACGGGGAGGAGCCCAGAGCCUGAAUCAGCAUGUGUGUUAGUGGAAGCGUCUGGAAAGGCGCGCGAUACAGGGUGACAGCCCCGUACACAAAAGCGCAUGUGCUGUGAGCUCGAUGAGUAGGGCGGGACACGUGGUAUCCUGUCUGAAUAUGGGGGGACCAUCCUCCAAGGCUAAAUACUCCUGACUGACCGAUAGUGAACCAGUACCGUGAGGGAAAGGCGAAAAGAACCCCGGCGAGGGGAGUGAAAAAGAA
rnacentral:rRNA from 3 species